AUUGAACGCUGGCGGCAGGCCUAACACAUGCAAGUCGAGCGGUAGAGAGAAGCUUGCUUCUCUUGAGAGCGGCGGACGGGUGAGUAAUGCCUAGGAAUCUGCCUGGUAGUGGGGGAUAACGUUCGGAAACGGGCGCUAAUACCGCAUACGUCCUACGGGAGAAAGCAGGGGACCUUCGGGCCUUGCGCUAUCAGAUGAGCCUAGGUCGGAUUAGCUAGUUGGUGGGGUAAUGGCUCACCAAGGCGACGAUCCGUAACUGGUCUGAGAGGAUGAUCAGUCACACUGGAACUGAGACACGGUCCAGACUCCUACGGGAGGCAGCAGUGGGGAAUAUUGGACAAUGGGCGAAAGCCUGAUCCAGCCAUGCCGCGUGUGUGAAGAAGGUCUUCGGAUUGUAAAGCACUUUAAGUUGGGAGGAAGGGUUGUAGAUUAAUACUCUGCAAUUUUGACGUUACCGACAGAAUAAGCACCGGCUAACUCUGUG
rnacentral:rRNA from 1 species